AUCUGAGUCUCAGCUGGAGCCCUGGACAAGAGGGAGCUCAAUCACUCGGCAUCAUCAUGAGUGUCUAGAUUGGAGAUUGACCAUCUGGGACAGGAUGCUGUGAGCUGAAAGACACAGAACACUCAUGAGCAAGGAAGAAAAAAGCCCAGAGAGUUAAAGCAACAGCUAAAUAACACCAGGGAUGGAGAACCUCUCUGGGUGGUCCAGGCCUUCCCCUCAAGAUCCCGAUCUGACUGCAGCAGUUCCAAGCUCACAGCUUCCUGUGGCAUGCUGAGAAAAGCUGGACCCACCUUGCUGUUUGUCCUCAGUUAAACGACUAUCCUGAGUGCUCUGAGAGCAGCCUUGGGGCCAGGCAGCACUUCGGGCAAGGAGAAAGGCUCAGAAAUUCAAAAGGGAGAGAUUGCUUUGGCUUAAUUAACAGGAAAUAAA
ensembl:lncRNA